UACGGAGGGUGCAAGCGUUAUCCGGAUUCACUGGGUUUAAAGGGUGCGUAGGCGGGUAGGUAAGUCAGUGGUGAAAUCCCCGAGCUCAACUUGGGAACUGCCGUUGAUACUAUCUAUCUUGAAUGUUGUGGAGGUGAGCGGAAUAUGUCAUGUAGCGGUGAAAUGCUUAGAUAUGACAUAGAACACCAAUUGCGAAGGCAGCUCGCUACGCAAUUAUUGACGCUGAGGCACGAAAGCGUGGGGAUCAAACAGG
rnacentral:rRNA from 1 species